AAAGUCGUAACAAGGUCUCCGUUGGUGAACCAGCGGAGGGAUCAUUAAAGAGUUGCAAAACUCCCUUUAAACCAUCGCGAACGUUACCCACGACGCCGUUGCCUCGGCGGAGCGUCGCCCCGUGCCGUCAAAAGUACGGGGCGGCGCCCGCCGGGAGACCGGCACAACCAAACUCUUAUAACCAUUGGCCUCUCUGAGUAAGAUUUUUUAAAUAAGUCAAAACUUUCAACAACGGAUCUCUUGGUUCUG
rnacentral:misc_RNA from 1 species